rnacentral:rRNA from 1 species
AUUGAACGCUGGCGGCAGGCCUAACACAUGCAAGUCGAACGGAGCGGCGGUCGGGGGAGUAAUACCUAGGAAUCUGCAUGGUAGUGGGGGAUAAGGACCAGAAACGGGCGCUGAUACCGAAUACUAUCACAAGAGCCUGUGUCGGAUUAGAUAGUUGGUGGGGUAAAGGCCUACCAAGGCGACGACCCGUAACUGGUCUGAGAGGAUGAUCAGUCACACUGGAACUGAGACACGGUCCAGACUCCUACGGGAGGCAGCAGUGGGGAAUAUUGGACAAUGGGCGAAAGCCUGAUCCAGCCAUGCCGCGUGUGUGAAGAAGGUCGUCGGAUUGUAAAGCACUUUAAGUUGGGAGGCGUUACCAACAGAAUAAGCACCGGCUAACUUCGUGCCAGCAGCCGCGGUAAUAC